GACUUCCUGCCCUGUUCGAUAAUUACGGUCAAAUACUAACCCAACACGCAUUUUAAGGGAGCCUAACUUUGGCGGCGGAUUGCAGACCUCCCGCUUUGGCGGACGAAGGGAGCGCGAAACCGUUAAGAGGGCACCCACCUGCAAAGACGCAGGUUGAUAUUUUACCGUAACCGGCAAGGCGGGAAUAAU
rnacentral:other from 1 species